GGAUUAGAUACCCUGGUAGUCCACGCCCUAAACGAUGUAUGCUUGGUGUUGGAGGAAUUGCCCUUCAGUGCCGGAGGAAACCCAUUAAGCAUACCACCUGGGGAGUACGAUCGCAAGGUUGAAACUCAAAGGAAUUGACGGGGGCCCGCACAAGCGGUGGAUUAUGUGGUUUAAUUCGAUGCAACGCGAAGAACCUUACCUGGGCUCGAAAUGCAGGAAGUAGGACCCUGAAAGGGGAACCACCCGUCAAGUCGGGAACCUGUAUAGGUGCUGCAUGGCUGUCGUCAGCUCGUGCUG
rnacentral:rRNA from 1 species